rnacentral:rRNA from 1 species
GAUGAACGCUGGCGGCGUGCUUAACACAUGCAAGUCGAACGAGAAUCAACGGAUUGAGGAUUCGUCCAAAUGAAGUUGAGGAAAGUGGCGGACGGGUGAGUAACGCGUGAGGAACCUGCCUUUCAGAGGGGGAUAACGUUUGGAAACGAACGCUAAUACCGCAUAACACCGAGACGUCACAUGGCGAUUCGGUCAAAGGAGCAAUCCGCUGAGAGAUGGGCUCGCGUCCGAUUAGGUAGUUGGUGAGAUAACAGCCCACCAAGCCGACGAUCGGUAGCCGGACUGAGAGGUUGAACGGCCACAUUGGGACUGAGACACGGCCCAG